UACGGAGGGGGCUAGCGUUGUUCGGAAUUACUGGGCGUAAAGCGCGCGCAGGCGGUUCUUCAAGUCAGUGGUGAAAGCCCGGAGCUCAACCGAUCCGACGUCGCAUUGAAACUGUGGAACUUGAGGAUGAGAGAGGUGAGUGGAAUUCCCAGUGUAGAGGUGAAAUGCGCAGAUAUCAGGAAGAACACCAAUGGCGAAGGCAGCUCGCUGGGACGGUACUGACGCUGAGACGCGAAAGCGUGGGGAGCAAACAGG
rnacentral:rRNA from 1 species